ACGGAAGGCAGCAGUGGGGAAUAUUGGGCAAUGGGCGAAAGCCUGACCCAGCAACGCCGCGUGAAGGAAGAAGGUCUUCGGAUUGUAAACUUCUUUUAUGAGGGACGAUAAUGACGGUACCUCAUGAAUAAGCCACGGCUAACUACGUGCCAGCAGCCGCGGUAAUACGUAGGUGGCAAGCGUUAUCCGGAUUUACUGGGUGUAAAGGGCGCGUAGGCGGGAAAGCAAGUCAGAUGUGAAAUCCAUGGGCUCAACUCAUGAACUGCAUUUGAAACUGUUUUUCUUGAGCGUCGGAGAGGUAGAUGGAAUUCCUAGUGUAGCGGUGAAAUGCGUAGAUAUUAGGAAGAACACCAGUGGCGAAGGCGAUCUACUGGACGAUAACUGACGCUGAGGCGCGAAAGCGUGGGGAGCAAACAGGAUUAGAUACCCUGGUA
rnacentral:rRNA from 1 species